rnacentral:rRNA from 1 species
ACUCCUACGGGAGGCAGCAGUGGGGAAUAUUGGACAAUGGGCGCAAGCCUGAUCCAGCCAUGCCGCGUGAGUGAUGAAGGCCCUAGGGUUGUAAAGCUCUUUCACCGGUGAAGAUAAUGACGGUAACCGGAGAAGAAGCCCCGGCUAACUUCGUGCCAGCAGCCGCGGUAAUACGAAGGGGGCUAGCGUUGUUCGGAUUUACUGGGCGUAAAGCGCACGUAGGCGGACUAUUAAGUCAGGGGUGAAAUCCCGGGGCUCAACCCCGGAACUGCCUUUGAUACUGGUAGUCUUGAGUUCGAGAGAGGUGAGUGGAAUUCCGAGUGUAGAGGUGAAAUUCGUAGAUAUUCGGAGGAACACCAGUGGCGAAGGCGGCUCACUGGCUCGAUACUGACGCUGAGGUGCGAAAGCGUGGGGAGCAAACAGGAUUAGAAACCCCAGUAGUCCCA